rnacentral:rRNA from 1 species
GCGCGAACGAUUGUACCUUUUUAUUAAGGGACGCCAGGGGAGCAUGGAGAUAUAUAUUUGGGAACCUCCCUUAGGGUGGGGGACACCAAUUGGACGCGGAUUGUUAAUCCCGCUAAAGUUUUCGGGCCCAAAGGGGGCUUAGGCUUUCGCCUUUAGAUUUGCCCAAAUGGGAUUAGCUAGUUGGUGAGGUAUGGCUCCCCCAAGGGGACGAUCCCUAGCUGGUUUGAGAGGAUGUUCAGCCCCACUGGGAUUGAGACCCGGCCCAGAUUCCUACGGGAGGCAGCAGUGGGGAAUAUUGCACAAUGGGCGCAAGCCUGAUGCAGCCAUGCCGCGUGUGUGAAGAAGGCCUUCGGGUUGUAAAGCACUUUCAGUCAGGAGGAAAGGUUAGUAGUUAAUACCUGCUAGCUGUGACGUUACUGACAGAAGAAGCACCGGCUAACUCCGUGCCAGCAGCCGCGGUAAUACGGAGGGUGCGAGCGUUAAUCGGAAUUACUGGGCGUAAAGCGUACGCAGGCGGUUUGUUAAGCGAGAUGUGAAAGCCCCGGGCUCAACCUGGGAACUGCAUUUCGAACUGGCAAACUAGAGUGUGAUAGAGGGUGGUAGAAUUUCAGGUGUAGCGGUGAAAUGCGUAGAGAUCUGAAGGAAUACCGAUGGCGAAGGCAGCCACCUGGGUCAACACUGACGCUCAUGUACGAAAGCGUGGGGAGCAAACAGGAUUAGAUACCCUGGUAGUCCACGCCGUAAACGAUGUCUACUAGAAGCUCGGAACCUCGGUUCUGUUUUUCAAAGCUAACGCAUUAAGUAGACCGCCUGGGGAGUACGGCCGCAAGGUUAAAACUCAAAUGAAUUGACGGGGGCCCGCACAAGCGGUGGAGCAUGUGGUUUAAUUCGAUGCAACGCGAAGAACCUUACCUACACUUGACAUACAGAGAACUUACCAGAGAUGGUUUG